AGAUUGAACGCUGGCGGCAUGCCUUACACAUGCAAGUCGAACGGUAACAGGUUAAGCUGACGAGUGGCGAACGGGUGAGUAAUAUAUCGGAACGUGCCCAGUAGUGGGGGAUAGCCCGGCGAAAGCCGGAUUAAUACCGCAUACGACCUACGGGUGAAAGCGGGGGAUCGCAAGACCUCGCGCUAUUGGAGCGGCCGAUAUCAGAUUAGCUUGUUGGUGGGGUAAAAGCCCACCAAGGCGACGAUCUGUAGCUAGUCUGAGAGGACGACCAGCCACACUGGGACUGAGACACGGCCCAGACUCCUACGGGAGGCAGCAGUGGGGAAUUUUGGACAAUGGACGCAAGUCUGAUCCAGCCAUGCCGCGUGCGGGAAGAAGGCCUCGGUUGUAACGCUUUGUCAGGAGAAAGCUUUGACUAAUACUUUGAGGCGAUGACGGUACCUGAAGAAUAAGCACCGGCUAACUACGUGCCAGCAGCCGCGGU
rnacentral:rRNA from 1 species